rnacentral:ncRNA from 1 species
AUAAAUAGCGAGUAAGGCCUGAGAUAGCUGGGUUGCUGUAAAGUGGCCUAACUUCCGAAAGGAUAAAUCGGCUUUCAGGGUUCGCUUCUAU